AUUUAGGAUUAAGAUUUGGUUAAAGUUUGAUUUAAGAUUAGGGUUUGAUUUAGGAUUUAGGAUUUGGUUUAGGAUUUAAGAUUUGGUUAAGAUUUGAUUUAGGAUUUAGGAUUUAAGAUUUGGUUAAGAUUUGAUUUAGGAUUUAGGAUUUAAGAUUUGGUUAAGAUUUGAUUUAGGAUUUAGGAUUUGGUUAGGAUUUGAUUUAGGGUUUACAGUUUGGUUAAGAUUUGAAUUUGAUUUAGGAUUAGGAUUUGAUAUAGGGUUUAGGAUUUGGUUUAGAAUUUAAGGUUUGAUUAUGAUUUGAUUUAGGGUUUAAAAUUUGAUUAGGAUUUGUUUUAGAGAUUAGGGUUUGAUUUAGGAUUUAUGGUUUUAUUUAGAGUUUAGGAUUUGGUCAGGAUUUGAUUUAGGAUUUGGUCAAGAUUUGAUUUAGGAUUUAGGACUUUAUUUGAGUUUAUUUAGGAUUUAAGAUUUAGUUAGUUUUUGGCUAAAUUUUUGAAUGAAGUCUAAUAGGAUUUCAACUAGGAUUAAAUUAAGAUUGAAUUGAGAUGUAUUUGAGAUAUAUUUUUAAUUAUUAUAAUAUUUCUUUAAGAUUUCUUAUUAUUUCUUUGUAAUUCCUUUGAGGUUUCUCUGAAUUUGAUUAAAGCUUGUUUAGUAUUGUUAGUAUUCUAUUAGAAUUAGGAUUUUGUUGUAGAAAUUUCCAUUCUACCUUUCAAUGCCACGUA
rnacentral:lncRNA from 1 species